CCCUGGGAAAACACAUGGGCUGGGCAGAACUGCAAAUAUCACAUCCACCUAGGAUGCAAUUCCCCUUUGUGCAGAGCCUGUUAAUCACAUUACUGCUGUGCUGACUGAAAUUGCAAUCCUGUUGCAGUAAAGGCUGAGAAAAGAACUCACUCAUAAACAGUUUCUGCCCUAUAGAGUGACAUAUUACAAUAACAUGGUUUGCCAGUGGGUAAAACAAGCAAAGCAACAGUUGAAAUGGGAAUGAACAAGCAGAGAAAUGCCCCAGCUCAGUGGCCACGGGCCAGCAUGUGGUGUAGAAGCCAUCAGUGCCUAACAGGAGACCAGCAGUGGGUCUUGGCAUGAGCAGAACAGCCACCCAGCGUGGCUGCAAAAGCAUCCACGGGCAUGCAAUAGGCUGCCCCAAAUGCCCAAGGCAUGCUCAGUGCUGGCACUGUGGGCCACACCAUGGCAGAACCCGUUUGGCUGGCUCUGGAGGCAGGGCCAGGGAGCUGCUCAGCUGGUCUGGUGGUGACGUGGGAGUUCUGAAACUGGCAUGAGUCUUCCUGAAUUUUGUCUGCUGCAGCAAGCUGCCCAGGAGCUCCUUGCUGGCUGCACUGGAGCACCGAUGAACAGGGUGCAUCACCCCUGGGAGGUGGAUGCAGUAGUCUGGUCAGAGAGAUAGAAAGCCAGAUAAUGCCAACGAGCACAGCCCAAGCCAUGAGGGACGGGGAGUGUGACAAGGGCUGAAGGAAGCAGAUGGAAGAGAGCUGGCCAUGGAAAGGCAGCCUGGCCACCAGUGCUGGUAAGUCCCUCCUGCACGCCAGCUCAAGGACUGUUCAGAAAGCAGCUCCAAGUGUUUCCAGCAUGGUGCCCAUGAAUAAUUAACCCAAACAAAACAACAAAUAGUGUUUCCUCAUCAGCAUGCCAUGUGGACCCAGCUGCCAAGGAGGAGUGUGGUGAGACUGACUCAGCUCCUCAGAGCAAUGAAUCAGUGAAAUGCCCAGGACAGGGCAUUUCUGCCUGGGACAUGGAGCACCAAGGAGCUGAGGGGGACUUUGCUUAGGGCCCCAGAGGGGGACACGGGACACCCAAGCCUCCUCCUGACUCCUUCUCAGGAUUCUGCAUGCAGUUGCUGCCUUUCUCCAGAGCAGGAAGAACUGGUUUGGUUGCUGUCCUUCAAAUGAUGCAUCUCAACACAUGGGAAAGAGUAGGAAAAAACCACCCAGAAAGAGCCACAGGACCAGCAUAAAAAGAGGUCCUUCAAAACCAGCCAGGCUCUUUGGAGUUUUGCCUUUCUGCAAAAGGCAAACUGACCUGAGCUGGAUUAGGUCCAGGAUCCACUCUGACACCUCUGCUGUAGCUGGCAGCUCUGGUCAGCUCUGGAAGGCUUUCUGCAGCUCAGGGGGAUAUCUGUAAUGACUAAAUUACCUGUGGUGGUGUGGGGAGCUGCCUGGACCAGAAAAGAUGCUGACAGUAAGAACUGCUGUGAAAUGGAUGUUUCCCUUGUCUGUGAACACAGGUGUGGACGAGCCCAAGGACCAGCACUGGGAGGUGUGUUAGGUCCUGAGUGUGCUGCAAGAUGGAGAAGUUUGCACCCUCACAGUGCUGCUCUGUGCUUGGGACUGCUGCUUGUGGGGACUGUUCACCUUUGGGAUCCUGCUACUGUUGGAGCAUCACAGACAUGCAAGAUCCAAGGCACUGCUGUCUACCUCCUCCUUGGAGCUGCAGCCAGGCCUUUCCAGCAGCUCCUCCUCCUGAGCCUCAUGAGCAGAAGACAAGCCCAGGCAGGUCAUCUCUGGCAGCAGCUGUGCUCCAGGCAGGCAGCUCAGGCUGGGGCACGUUCCUGUGGCUCCUCUGUGCUCCUCCUGUACCUGAGACAUGCAUGCAUCACAUGGUUCAGUUUACAGGGCCAUCAGCCUGGCAGCUUUCCUCGCUAAAUUUACUUUUUUAAGUUCCAUCAGUGUUGUAUCCAGAGGGAAUGGAGGAACAGAUGCAGCUUGUGAAGUUUGGCUUUAAUUCAUCUGCCUCAUUUAAUUUCCUGCCCUGCCUACUAAUCAGUGAGUCUGCACUAGCAGCUCUGGGAAUACCACGGCUUUUCCUCAUCCAGGAGAAUUCAGCACUGUGGCACAGGGUCUCAAGCAGGCUGUCACUGUCCUUUGAGGGCCCUUCAUUUUGGAUUUCCCUCCCCCAGAACCCUUGCAGACACUCUCCAGCCCAGGGCAGCUGCUCCUCAUUUCCUUGCAGGGCCCAGGGCACAGGGGCAGCUCUGUCCCAUUGUCCCCCCCGGCCUGUGAGGCAUUCCCUCCUGGAAUGUAAGUGCAAUGCAACACUGGGAGUGUUCUCCUUCAAGGGUUCCAGCCCCAGGCUUUGCUUUUCAGGGCCACACUCCGGGGGCUGUGCUGUGUCAGACACUGCUGGGGCCAUUUGGGCCUUGCCACCAUCCAGGGGGACCAGCAGAGCCUGGCAGGGGCUCCUGUGUCCCCUUUGUCCCCCACAGCCCCUGAGUGUGUCCCUUUUUGUGGCAGCAGCUCUCUGGCUGCAGACAGAAACACAACUUUCCCAGGCACCCUUCUGGGAGAAGUCUGUCAGAAGAUCAGAGAAAAGAAUGAGAAACAAUUCCUAUCUUCACUUGCUGCACCUAGCAUUGUAAACACGUAAAAUGUGUUGUAAAGAUUUGUUUACCAAAAAGUAGUUUCUUUAUUAACCAAUAGUAAUAGUGUUUUAAGUAAAAAACCAAUUAAGUCAACCUGUAGUGAACUAGUCUAUAAAAGAGCAAUGAGGAGUUUCUUAGUAAAAACAUAUUAAUCAACUUUGUGUGAUACAUGGAGUCUGUACCAGUGAUGACCUGGCCAGGGGCCCGUGUGCUGGGAUAACCUCCAGGUGUCCCUGCUCCCAGGAGAGUGGCAGCCCCCAGCCCAGCACUGCCUCAGACCUUCGGGGAGCACCAGGGGAAGGGUUCUGGCACCUUGCCUGGUUUAAGCAGGCUUCUUCUGCACUGGGUUUUUGGGGGCUCUGUUAAUGCCAGGCAGUGCUGCUCUGUUGUUCCAUCAGCCCUGUCAAAGGCUGCCUUUGCCUGGUGGUGCCUAUUCUGUGACACCACUGCUUUGCCUCCCUGUUCUGGCCUGUACCAGAUUGCUCUUUGCCUGCUGAAAUGGACAAUUAGGGUCCAGCUGUAAUGCAAAUCACACAGUGGAAUAAAAGCUGUGGGGAACAAAAUCCCCCAUGAGUAGUUAUGUCAGCCUUUGCUAUGGUGUGAUGGCUCCAACUCUGCUCCUGCCCUGUGAAGGAUCAGGAGGAGAGAGUCUGUGUGCCUUUGUGUUUUAUAGGCACAAACUCGAUGUACAGCUGCCUUUAGGCACUGGCAGCCCUGAUGGGGUGUGUGUGUGUGUGCAAACCUAACAGACAGAUUCCACCCACUCUGGAAAUUUGAUGAUUGCCUUGUUUUCUCAAGGCUCCAUUUCUUGCACUGCAGGCCAAACCCACGGGGUGAUUGCCAGCCUCUGCACAGGGGCUGAGAUGAUGUGAUGAGGGAGAAGCACAGAGAUGCUGAAAUUUCAAUCUGCCACAAAAUGUGCUCCUAAUCCUGAUGGCCUUGUAAUUGUGAUGCUGUCACUGGUGUCAUUGCAGUUGUUUUUGUCACUGUUUUCCCAUGUUUGGUGCUAAAUAUUGUAAAUGAAGAGAAAUAUUUAGAUUUGUAAUGGAAUCUAAAUUUAUUGUGGAAUUAAACAGACAGGAGCCUGAAAAGCCAAAUGGAAGAGGUAUGUUUUCAUUUCAAAUGGCAAGUCCUAGCCAUGUAAAGUGAUAUUUUGUUGAUACAGCUGCUUUUGCUGCAGAUCUGCUUUGCAUUUCCUCAGGCCACGGGUAACAAAGGAUGAAGCUGAACGUUCUCUCACCCUUGAGAACUGAGGUGGAAUAUCUGUGUUAGAACUGGAGGCCAGUGUUCUGGGGUUACCUGAGCUUGUGCCCCACCUGUGAGAUCCAGAGUGAGACCCAUGCCUGUCCAUAUCUCGUGGGAACUCUGGCUUCCAGGGGACAGCAAGGAACGAGAGUGAGGCGUGCUGAAGGCAGAUGGAUGAGCUGGGUUCAAAGUCCUCCUGGAAGCUAUGGCAACCUAACUUUUAUAUCUACUCAGAAAAGCCUUUGCAACCACCAUAAAUGACUUUAAAUGGCCUUAUUUUCCUGCUAGCAGUGGAAUAAGCAGCUUCAACGGGGAGGAGUAAAUCCACUUGAUUACACAUGUUGCUGGGAAUAGCACUGUUAUUGGCUAUCACUAAUGACCCAAUCUAUUCCUGGUAGUGUGGCUGCUGACACAGGCAGUCUGAUCUGCCAGGGAAUAACUGCACUGCUCCUAAAAUUCCAAUUACAAUGGAGCAAGGGGACUCAGAGGGGCCUCAAGGGAGGAAACUUCAGUAGGAAGCCAAGUCAACAUGGAGCACUUGGGUUAUAAAUAAUGUGUGUGACAAAUGAAAUCUGUCUUUGGAGGAGGAUUUCUUCCAGGCAAGGCUGAGCCCUUUCCAUCCUGAUGCUUUCCUCAGGCCAUCCAUGGUGUUUGUGUGUCUGGUCAUGAGCUGAGGAGGUGUUGGCUUCUUGGCUGAUCUUCUGGAGGAAAGAGGGAGUUCUAGACCUUGGGUGUGCCAAGCAGCUCAAGCUCAGGGCUUCAGUCCAGGAUUUAGAUGGAAUUUCUCCAUUGAAAUCACUGGCAAAGCACCUGAUCACCACAGCAGGAGUGUUCUCACACAGAAACGCCCAGGGAAAUUCUCUCUCGGAAUAGAUCAGAUUCUGCUCUUAUUUAUGCAAUUAUAAAUUCAGUGUAGCUCCAUUUGAAACAACUGUUUUCAUCUGAUGCAAAUAAAAUCAAGAUCUGGCCCAGGCUGCUUUUGUACACAAUGGAAAGUGACUGAAUUAUGGAAAACAGGAAACAAAUCUAAUGUAAAUCUGGAUGGAAAUAUCAUGGUCUCUGUUACAUCAGAAUAAAUUGGAAGGAAGUCUG